GACGAACGCUGGCGGCGUGCUUAACACAUGCAAGUCGAGCGGUAAGGCCCUUUCGGGGGUACACGAGCGGCGAACGGGUGAGUAACACGUGGGUGACCUGCCCUCAGCUCUGGGAUAAGCCUGGGAAACCGGGUCUAAUACUGGAUAUGACUCCAUGACGCAUGUUGUGGGGUGGAAAGCCUUGUGCGGCUGAGGAUGGGCCCGCGGCCUAUCAGCUUGUUGGUGGGGUGANGGCCUACCAAGGCGACGACGGGUAGCCGGCCUGAGAGGGCGACCGGCCACACUGGGACUGAGACACGGCCCAGACUCCUACGGGAGGCAGGCAGUGGGGAAUCUUGCGCAAUUGGGCGAAAGCCUGACGCAGCGACGCCGCGUGAGGGA
rnacentral:rRNA from 1 species